rnacentral:SRP_RNA from 1 species
GCCGGGCGUGGUGGCGGGCGCCUGUAGUCCCAGCUACUCGGAGGCUGAGGCAGGAGAAUGGCGUGAACCUGGGAGGCGGAGCUUGCAGUGAGCCGAGAUCGCGCCACUGCACUCCAGCCUGGGUGACACAGCGCGAGACUCCGUCUCAAAAAAAAAAAAAAAAAAAACCAAGAUCUGAAAUUAUUGUUUAUUUAUUUUAUUUAUUUUUUUUUUGAGACAGGGUCUUACUCUGUCACCCAGGCUGGAGUGCAGUGGUGUGAUCUCGGCUCACUGCAACUUCCGCCUCCCGGGUUCAAGUGAUUCUCCUGCCUCAG